CUUUGCAGCAGACAUUUGUUUCUUGCUUUUCAAAUCGUUUUUAUGCUUCGUUUUUUAUCUUAUUAUCAAUUUAUAAUGACGUUAUAAGUAAAUAAUUUGUGUUAUUAGUUGUUAAAUGGUUUAAAGAGCAGUGCAUUUCGUUUCAAUCACUUAAUUACUUGAAAUAACGAAAUAUUACAACACUGAUAUCAUCUGCCAUGAACCACCAGAUGAGGAGGAUUCGUUUCGUUGUCGAAGACGUCCAGGUACGGGAACUGCGACGGGAGAAGUCCGAUUAGGUGGCAAAGGUGACCGUGAUCCAUGAGCAAUUCCUUCUUUAUUUGGAGAAGUAUGAAUUGACCAUGGUACCACGUUCCUAUAAAAUGAGCAAUUAAAUUAAUUGGAGAGAAAUGUAUACUAAAUACGAUAAGAAAGAAAGUGUAUGUACCCAGAACUAAGAUAGUCGUCUUGACUUUCUGCGGAAGAGCAAUGAAACACAGCUGGUGGAUUGUUAUCUUGGCUAU
rnacentral:lncRNA from 1 species